AGAGUUUGAUCAUGGCUCAGAACGAACGCUGGCGGCAGGCUUAACACAUGCAAGUCGAACGCGUGUAGCAAUACACGAGUGGCGCACGGGUGAGUAACACGUGGAUUAUCUGCCUUUUGGUUCGGAAUAACCCCGGGAAACUGGGGCUAAUACCGGAUGGUUCCUACGGGAUAAAGAUUUAUCGCCAAAAGAUGAGUCCGCGCCCGAUUAGCUAGUUGGCGGGGUAAUGGCCCACCAAGGCUACGAUCGGUAGCUGGUCUGAGAGGACGAUCAGCCACACUGGGACUGAGACACGGCCCAGACUCCUACGGGAGGCAGCAGUGGGGAAUAUUGGACAAUGGGGGCAACCCUGAUCCAGCCAUGCCGCGUGAGUGAUGAAGGCCUUCGGGUUGUAAAGCUCUUUUGGCGGGGACGAUGAUGACGGUACCCGCAGAAUAAGCCCCGGCUAACUUCGUGCCAGCAGCCGCGGUAAGACGAAGGGGGCUAGCGUUGUUCGGAAUUACUGGGCGUAAAGCGCGUGUAGGCGGCUGCCAAAGUCGGGUGUGAAAGCCUUGAGCUCAACUCAAGAAAUGCACUCGAUACUUGGUGGCUAGAGGACCGGAGAGGAUAGUGGAAUUCCCAGUGUAGUGGUGAAAUACGUAGAGAUUGGGAAGAACACCAGUGGCGAAGGCGGCUAUCUGGACGGUUUCUGACGCUAAGACGCGAAAGCGUGGGGAGCAAACAGGAUUAGAUACCCUAGUAGUCC
rnacentral:rRNA from 1 species